rnacentral:rRNA from 1 species
UACGAAGGGGGCUAGCGUUGCUCGGAAUUACUGGGCGUAAAGCGCACGUAGGCGGAUUGUUAAGUCGGGGGUGAAAUCCUGGAGCUCAACUCCAGAACUGCCUUCGAUACUGGCGAUCUAGAGUCCGGGAGAGGUGAGUGGAACUGCGAGUGUAGAGGUGAAAUUCGUAGAUAUUAGGAAGAACACCAGUGGCGAAGGCGGCUCACUGGCCCGGUACUGACGCUGAGGCACGGAAAGCGUGGGGAGCAAACAGG